rnacentral:lncRNA from 1 species
GCCACUACCCACGCCACUACGCACGCCACUACGCACGCCACUACGCACGCCACUACGCACGCACACGAUGAGGAAUCACAAAGCACAAACAACGUUUAGGCAAUGAACGCGCGCGGUCGCACUCGUUGAGUCGGUGAGGGGGCCCGACGACGUCUUGUGAAUACUUUGUACAUAUAAUAAUGAACUAUAAGUGAUAAAUAUUUUGUCGUACGCUCUAAUUAUAGGAAUAUUUUGUUGUGAAUCGGUACUUCUCAAUUUGUAUUUAUAAAUAAUUAUUUCAAAAUAAAGACUUGUCAGUCUUGA